rnacentral:rRNA from 1 species
UAAUACGUAGGGGGCAAGCGUUGUCCGGAAUCAUUGGGCGUAAAGCGCGUGUAGGCGGCUCGAUAAGUCUGCUGUGAAAGUCCAGGGCUCAACCCUGGGAUGCCGGUGGAUACUGUCGAGCUCGAGUCCGGAAGAGGCGAGUGGAAUUCCUGGUGUAGCGGUGAAAUGCGCAGAUAUCAGGAGGAACACCAAUGGCGAAGGCAGCUCGCUGGGACGUGACUGACGCUGAGACGCGAAAGCGUGGGGAGCAAACAGGAUUAGAUACCCUGGUAGUCCACGCCGUAAACGAUGGGCACUAGGUGUGGGAGGUGUCGACUCCUCCCGUGCCGAAGCUAACGCAUUAAGUGCCCCGCCUGGGGAGUACGGCCGCAAGGCUA